UAGGGAAUCUUCGGCAAUGGGGGCAACCCUGACCGAGCAACGCCGCGUGAGUGAAGAAGGUUUUCGGAUCGUAAAGCUCUGUUGUAAGAGAAGAACGUGUGUGAGAGUGGAAAGUUCACACAGUGACGGUAACUUACCAGAAAGGGACGGCUAACUACGUGCCAGCAGCCGCGGUAAUACGUAGGUCCCGAGCGUUGUCCGGAUUUAUUGGGCGUAAAGCGAGCGCAGGCGUUUUAAUAAGUCUGAAGUUAAAGGCAGUGGCUUAACCAUUGUUCGCUUUGGAAACUGUUAAACUUGAGUGCAGAAGGGGAGAGUGGAAUUCCAUGUGUAGCGGUGAAAUGCGUAGAUAUAUGGAGGAACACCGGUGGCGAAAGCGGCUCUCUGGUCUGUAACUGACGCUGAGGCUCGAAAGCGUGGGGAGCAAACAGG
rnacentral:rRNA from 1 species